GACAUGCAUUCCAAGCUCCAUUUUGCUCCAAAAUGCUCCAAAAUGCAUCUCCUUGCCUACUUUGUCCAUAAAAUCUGAAAACACACGAAAAUGACUUUAAAUAUUAAAAUAACUAAGGAAACACGACAUAAAUGCACAAGAACAAGCCAACUAAGUCGCAUAAAUAUGCUCCUAUCAUUUUCCCUACUACUCAAGGGCAAUUAUUCUUUAAUUGUACAUUGUCGUAAAGCCUUGGUUUAACAAUAACUUUGUAUGUACAUCAAAAGAAUAGAGUCUAUUAUACUUUUCUUGGCAAAUCAUGAAAUUCUGAGUAGGAUUUCAAUCACUUGGAAAUGAAUUUUCAAAAAUUUUGGGUAUUGUCACACACCAUAUAAAGUGGUGUAGGCACAAUUGAACUCUUCCAACCUAGUGGGAAAUGUUUUUUGGAAGUUUGCUACCAACAAUUAGUACAUAAAACCCUAAAGCAAUUGAAUGAGCAAAGUAACGACUUUGAAUUUUCAAUUAGCUUACAUCAGUUCUCACAUAUGAUGAGACGGUUGUCUAGGAUAUAAAUUGAAGGGUUCACUAAUUUCUUGUGACAUUUAAAUUGCAAUAGACUAAAGUAAGUGUACCAUUAAACUACAAGAAUCUUCCACCUUAGGGAAGUACAACCGAAGAAAAUGUACUGAACAACAGUGGGAGUACAACUUAUGGAAUCAUACCAUUGCAGUUCUGCGAGAGGAACAAAGUUUUCACAAAACAAUAUAGGUUGUGAAUAUGAUAUAGUCAAUAAAUUGAGUGGCUUGUGAUAGAAGUCAUACAAAGAAUGUGAUUGAAACUUAUUAUAAAAAAAAUAAAAAAUGUUCUUAGAAGGUGCAUAAUCCCACUUAGUAGUUGACCCAGUAAAGUUGUUGACUUUUGUGGAUCUUUGAACUUAAGAACCUGGCACAUUGCGAAAAGGCUAUUACGUCUUAAAGACAUUCUUCCUAGAUGGUGAGGAAUGUUACUCCACUUUGUUAAAUGACUAAAAGAGAUGGUCCUCAUAGACCAAUCUUUCAUUAAUGAGCGAAAUUGAAAAUUUUUCUUUUUAUAAAAGAAAUGAUUUUUCAAUAGGAGAUGGAAAGUAUGAGAUGUCUUCCCAAGGUGGGGUCAGACGUGACUCUUCUUUUUUCAUGACCUAGCCUAUGUGAAAAAUUCUCAAUCCGAGAAGAGAAUUGGAUUCACACACUAUUUUCUAGACAAGUGUCCUUAUUUGUGUUGACAUUUGAAAAUCCUUCUAACUGUUGUUGUUGUACAUUAAGACUUAGAGCCCAAGGUGUUCCUGUUUUUCCAUGAGUACUGACAAUUGAUGUCUUUAUUGAAAAAUAGAUCGUCUCCAUAAUUGUGGUGUGAGACACAAAGCAUUUUUGACAUGCUAGAGAAGUUUAAGUGAUACUCUUAGAUGCUCCUUAGUUAAUUUGCUAAAGAUUAACAUAUAGAAGCUCUACGGUUGCCAUUUGGGCUAUACUGAAACUCAAGGCAUCUUAGAAGAGAUAGAGUGCCGUGUGAUUCUAGACCAAAGCUUCCUAGAAUAUGAAAUGAGGAAUAGUGUUAACCAUUGUCUUAACAUGUGCAUCUAGACGAUAAGAUAAAUCAUACGUGCGCCAAUUGUAAGGCGCCAUGUAUGACCCACGUGUCUAUAUCUAGAUAGUAAAAGAGCUAAUACGUGCCUCAAUGUGGGAUGCCAUGUAUGACUUUUUUUGUCUAUGCGCUAAUUAAGUAGCGGCAAGUAUGACACACAAGUGUGGACAAGAAAUAAUAUAAUUAUCAUUUUUGAAGGUGUUUAUAUAUAAACUCAUCAGUCCUCGUGAUAAAAUGGUGUACGCCGGCUAUUCACUAAGCGUUGAUGCGUAGUCUAUCCGAGUAGUGGAUGAUUGUCUAAACCAAGCCAUUUUGAAGUAAUCAUAAGUCAUUGACUUAGAGCAAUAAAAGGAUUUUCGAUGUCCAUAAAACAUCAUUUUGGUUGGUUGACAUAAGAUCGUUCAUGGAAAAAAUGAUUGUUCAAGGUACAAGUAAUUCCAUGUUUACUCAUGGUUGAAAUAUUUUCUCAAUACAGUGAUAAAAAUAUACUUGCAUUUACCUUAUAUGGAAUUGAAAGAGCCCACCUACUUUUGAAAAACGUAAGUGCUCCUUAUGGAAUUAUUUUGGAGGUAUUUUGCAUUAACAAGAGAGAUUUUAUGUGAGUCUACUCUGAUCUAUGCAAAAGAAGUCCCUAAGUUGGAGGGAACCCGAAUUUGUUCAUGAUUACUUGCAAUAGCACAAAGUAAAAGAGUCUAAAAGAUGUAGCCUUGGUGAUGCGAAAUAUAUAAGCACACAAAUUAAACCCUCUUUUUAUCAAUUGUAGCAAAGUAUGUAGUAGGGAUCGUUCUAGGCCGGGGAUUAGGAGGGAUUGCUACAUCACUUGAAAACUGACUCAAAACGUAAAAACAAAGUUUAAAACACUAAACUAGACUCAAAGAAUGCAAAACUAAACUCUAAAUCACUAAAACAAACCUAAAGACUCAAAACAGCCCAGAAACACUCAAAACUGCCUUAAAAACACAAUCUAGGCAGUUUUAAACACAAACACCAAUUUGGACGAAAAUAGGUUAUAACUUGACUCAAGACACUUAAAAACACAAACUAAAUUGAUUUCUAACUAAUCUAACACUUCAAAAUAAAUGGGGAUUGAGUUUUGACAAAAAUUGAAAACAAAAACAAAACUUUGUAAAUUGAACAGAUUCUAAAACGAAUUUGAUAAAAGUGAAUGGAUGGAAAGCUAGCUAAGGGGUUCUUCUCCACACAUGUCACACUUGCAUACAAAACGAUUUCCAAUUGCUUCUCAAUAAGCCAUGAAUUCCCAACGCCCCAGAUUAAC
rnacentral:lncRNA from 1 species